UUAGCUCAUAUUUGUAUGGAAUGGUAUCGUUUGCGUACGUUUGCCGCUAGGGGCGCUGUUCCAACUGCAUACAAAAUUGAGUUA
rfam:Bombyx mori DNA, contig: Bm_scaf78_contig32461, strain: p50T/Dazao, build 2, whole genome shotgun sequence.